rnacentral:rRNA from 1 species
GAUGAACGCUAGCUACAGGCUUAACACAUGCAAGUCGAGGGGUAACGAGAGGAAAGCUUGCUUUCCUUGUCGACGACUGGCGCACGGGUGAGUAACGCGUAUCCAACCUGCCCCCAACUAGGGAAUAACCUUGCGAAAGUAAGACUAAUACCCUAUAAUUUCCUCAGAUGUCAUCUGACGAGGAAUAAAGAUUUAUCGGUUGUGGAUGGGGAUGGGUCUGAUUAGCUUGUUGGCGGGGUAACGGCCCACCAAGGCAACGAUCAGUAGGGGUUCUGAGAGGAAGGUCCCCCACAUUGGAACUGAGACACGGUCCAAACUCCUACGGGAGGCAGCAGUGAGGAAUGUUGGUCAAUGGGCGGAAGCCUGAACCAGCCAAGUAGCGUGCAGGAUGACGGCCCUAUGGGUUGUAAACUGCUUUUAUACAGGAAUAAAGUUAGCCACGUGUGGUUAUUUGUAGGUACUGUAUGAAUAAGGACCGGCUAAUUCCGUGCCAGCCGCCGCCGUAA